AUACAUAUAAUCAAGUUACUCAAAUAUAAAAACAACACAAAAACAAAAACUUUGGAUUCAUUGCGUGCCAAACAAGAAAAUGUAAUCUUAUUCUGAGAAUUGCAUUUUAUUCGCAAUUACGAAGUGCACCAAAGUAUGGCCUAAGAUUAAUUCAAUAUAAAAUGGGCAAAUCUAAUCUUGUCCCGAGAACGAUUACUCAUCCUUCGAAUUUUUCGGCUCCUAUUAUAAGUCUCGAGAUCUAGUUUUCUUCCAAUGAAGGGAAAAUGAUGCAGUUUAAGAAGACGAGGUUUAUGAAUUAUUUUAAUUUAAUUAUUCAUCAUAAAAUUAGAAGUUUUAGUUAAUAAAUCUAUUUAGUUUAGGAUUUCCUAAUUACAAUUGGGUUACAUUCUUAAUUUGAUUUGUUAUAGUAUUCUUAAUAGUUAUAAUCAGGAUGGUUGAUAGACUACAAAUACCUAUGUCUAGGCAUUUUUAUUAAGAGAUUUUAUUAUAGUAAUAAUAUUGUUGACGAUAAGAUGUGAGAAUAUAUUUCUAAUCUCACCCCUUAAUUCCUUGUACCUUAGCUAGUUCUACAUCAAUUUUCUAUCAGAGCUUAUCUACAUCAAUUUUCUAUCAGAGCUUAUCUACAUCAAUUUUGAGAAUCAGCUCUAGGUUGGUGAUGGGCUGAAUCUGAACUGGGCUGUAUAACCUUCCCAUGGUUCAAGUUUUGAUUAUGUUCUGGUUAUGAUUCUGAUUCAAUCCGACUCCAUCUGGUUUUAUCAAAUCCAACAGUCCCAUUUCUUUUUCAGUUUAGUCACAAUUCAAGUCAACCAGAUUUGACUGUUUUAGAUCCAGUAACGAUCUGACUCAGGUUUGGAACUGACCUAUGGCCUGAUCUAUAUAUAUGUAUAUAUAUAUAUAAAGAGCUUAGGUGGCACCCUCACUUACUCUAAUUUUCUUUCAAUUUUGUUACUGACUAUGAUUGCAAUGUUUACUUAUUCCACCUUUUAAAAGAUGAGAUGAGAGGUGGCACUUUUUAAAGGUCAAGGUGUCAUUAGAGUUUUCAGGUGAAAGUCAAGGAUCAAAAUACGCUUUCAUCUAAGGGGGGAAAUUAUGCAAUAGGAAAUUAUGCAAUAUAAAUCAACUUUAAAAUUGAAAGAAGAGUUUGAUGCAAUGUCAAGACUAAAAAUAGGGUUUGAUAGUGAUUUAUCAAUGCUGUUAAAGAUACAAGAUAAGAACAAAAAAAGCAGCCUAAAUCAAAUAAGCAAUUUGAAGAACAAAAGAGAACAAUUUGGAUCCCAAACUUCAAUGGUUGACCUUCCAACGUGGAAAACAAAGAUGAUAAGACUGAGUAAGAAAAUUUGGUAGAAAUGACCCUGGAGAAAGUACCUGAAGCUGAUAAGAAUGAGCACGAUAAAUUGAGGAGCCUAUCAUAGGGAAUGAAAAAAAUAAAGCCAUGAAGACUUCAAUAUAAAUUGAAGGAUAUCACCCAAGGAAAAAACAACUCGAAAAUCAAAAUCUCAUGUUCUUAUUAAAUUGAAGUCUUUCGAUUAAAGUUGUGAUCAAAUUUCUAUGUUCAAAUGUUUCAAGGAAUGCAAAGGAAAGCAUAAAGUUAUUCGU
rnacentral:lncRNA from 1 species